GGAGAUACUUAGGCUCCCCAGAGAAAUUAGUCACAAGUCUUAUCCCUUCAUCUCCAUUUACAGCCAUUUAUUUGGGAGCAACAUACUUUAAAUGAGUGAUAAACAAAAUGUCUCCCCACAGCCCCCACCCCAGCAUGUGUUCUGAAGUUCACAGGAAGGCUUCUCCUCAUUUGCUUUGGGGCCCGCAGGCUGCCUGCUAACAGCUGGGUCUUCCCAUGAACAAAUUAGACAGUUAAUGUUCCAGGAUGAAGAGGGCUUCGGGGAACAGAAUCUGCCGUUUAUUUGACUUGCUUCAUUAGACACAGUGCCAUCAUACCAAAAUUAGAAAAAAGAAGGAACUCAGCGGAAAUCAGCUACACAAGAAGAACCUCUCAGUUCUGAGAAUUCACAUUAACCAGUGAUUAAGAAAUAUUAAAAAGGGCUGAUAGUCCACUACGUUAUCAAGUUCAAAGCCUAAGAAAUAUUGAACAUUUCCACACAUGAAUGUGGGUACUAUGUUUAAUUUGAGAAUGGCCAACUGUCCUCGAAGUCUCAAUCUCUUUGGAGCCUACCAGCUCCGAGAGAAGUUUGAGGAUGCUGCAAAACCCUCCCCUGCAAAUCCAUCUACUCCUCCCACUUCUAUCCUAAUGGUUCUUGGCUGUGCUGAGGAUCUGUAAGGCACCAGAUGUGAAAGUAAGGAAGAAAGAUGGAUGUGGAAGAAAGUCACUGCCCAGAGAAUAAGGAGACCUGGAUUCUAAUCUCAGCUCUGCCAUUAACUAGCUUCUAUACUUUAUCCAAGAAAGAAUAAAUCAUUUCCAAAUAUUUUCAAAGAUGAAACUAUGGCUCAAAAGGGAAUAAGAGAUCAAGGCAAGCAUGGACAUCUUGUACGUGGAAGUGCAGACCAGAACUUGUAUCACAGCCAGUCAUAUCUGGUGCUUUCCAUGCUACUUUUACAUACAUGUAUCCUUAAAUUUGAUCCUCUUCUAGUUUAGUCUAAACUCUUUACUUUGUAACUUCCAAACCUAAAAGGUGCAGCAGACAUUGACAAUCUUAAUUCAUUUGUCAGGUCA
rnacentral:lncRNA from 1 species